UACGGAGGGUGCAAGCGUUAUCCGGAUUCACUGGGUUUAAAGGGUGCGUAGGUGGGCAGGUAAGUCAGUGGUGAAAUCUCCGAGCUUAACUCGGAAACUGCCAUUGAUACUAUCUGUCUUGAAUAUCCUGGAGGUGAGCGGAAUAUGUCAUGUAGCGGUGAAAUGCUUAGAUAUGACAUAGAACACCAAUUGCGAAGGCAGCUGGCUACGCGAAUAUUGACACUCAGGCACGAAAGCGUGGGGAUCAAACAGG
rnacentral:rRNA from 1 species